CACGUGAGCAACCUACCCUUGACUCUGGGAUAACAGUUGGAAACAGCUGCUAAUACCGGAUAUGAACUCAGCGGGCAUCUGCUGGGCUGGAAAGCUCCGACGGUCAGGGAUGGGCUCGCGGCCUAUCAGCUUGUUGGUGAGGUAAUGGCUCACCAAGGCGACGACGGGUAGCCGGCCUGAGAGGGCGACCGGCCACAUUGGGACUGAGAUACGGCCCAGACUCCUACGGGAGGCAGCAGUGGGGAAUAUCGCACAAUGGGCGAAAGCCUGACGCAGCAACGCCGCGUGCGGGAUGACGGCCUUCGGGUUGUAAACCGCUUUCAGCAGGGACGAAACUGACGGUACCUGCAGAAGAAGCACCGGCUAACUACGUG
rnacentral:rRNA from 1 species